AUGCACUGGCCCUAUUUUUGGAAGCUGGAUGACGCAGACGAAAGAAGAUCAGAGGACUGCAAGCGGAGGAGGGCCACUCAAGAUGACAGCGCACAGGGAGAGGUUCUGUCCUUUCCACCCACCCACCACGGAGGUGCUGCCCGCUCUGACACAGAGAAGAAUUGCCUGAGUCUUCACAGAAAGAUCUGGAGUUAAGCAGAGAUGGCAAACUGUUCCAGGAAAGUUCUCAUCACUUUGUCUCUGGAAUAUUGAUUCCCCCUUGUUACUUGCUAAAGAGCCAGGUUUCUUGAGAGAGUCUGAGCAGGCAACUGCAGUUAGAAAUUAGUGCAGAUAUCAUUUUAAGGUAAUUUGAAUAUCCUUGUAAAGGAGAAGUUGUCCAGGUAGAUCACUGUCUUGGGAGAAGGAAAAUAAAAUGAUAGUCACGUGGGAAAGAGGCA
rnacentral:lncRNA from 1 species